AGAGUUUGAUCAUGGCUCAGGAUGUAUCGCUGGCGGCGUGCCUAACACAUGCAAGUCGAGCGAUCUUCUUCGGAAGAGAGCGGCGGACGGGUGAGUAAUCGCGUGGGUAACCUGCCUCAUACACAUGGAUAACAUACCGAAAGGUAUGCUAAUAUCAAGAUGAUAUAAGAGAUUCGCAUGGAUUUCUUAUCAAAGCUCCGGCGGUAUGAGAUGGACCCGCGUCUGAUUAGCUAGUUGGUAAGGUAACGGCUUACCAAGGCGACGAUCAGUAGCCGACCUGAGAGGGUGAUCGGCCACAUUGGAACUGAGACACGGUCCAAACUCCUACGGGAGGCAGCAGUGGGGAAUAUUGCACAAUGGGCGAAAGCCUGAUGCAGCAACGCCGCGUGAGCGAUGAAGGCCUUCGGGUCGUAAAGCUCUGUCCUCAAGGAAGAUAAUGACGGUACUUGAGGAGGAAGCCCCGGCUAACUACGUGCCAGCAGCCGCGGUAAUACGUAGGGGGCUAGCGUUAUCCGGAUUUACUGGGCGUAAAGGGUGCGUAGGUGGUUUCUUAAGUCAGGAGUGAAAGGCUACGGCUCAACCGUAGUAAGCUCUUGAAACUGGGAAACUUGAGUGCAGGAGAGGAAAGUGGAAUUCCUAGUGUAGCGGUGAAAUGCGUAGAUAUUAGGAGGAACACCAGUAGCGAAGGCGGCUUUCUGGACUGUAACUGACACUGAGGCACGAAAGCGUGGGGAGCAAACAGGAUUAGAUACCCUGGUAGUCCACGCCGUAAACGAUGAGUACUAGGUGUCGGGGGUUACCCCC
rnacentral:rRNA from 1 species